UGGGAUUGUGAAUUAGAAAAUAGGAUAACAAGAAUUUUUGUUGAUAGAUGAGUAUUGUUUUAGAUUUUUUUAUCAAUACGUGGUAUUUUAUAAAUAAAAUUCUUAAAAAUUCUAUUCUCGGAAAGUUGUCAAUUUAUAAAGAAAUAUUGUAGAUUUGGCACUGUGAUUUAGAAAUUAGGAUAACAAGAAUUUUUGUUAAUAUAUGAGUAUUGUUUUAGAAUUUUUGGAUGAUAGGUUGUAUUUUUUAAAUAAAAGUCUCACAAAUUCUAUUCAUGGAAAGUUUUCAUUUUUAUACAAAAUAUUUUAGAUUUGGGAUUAUGAAUUGGAAAAUAGGAUAACAAGAAUUUUUGUUGAUAGAUGAGUAUUGUUUUAGAUUUUUUUUUAUCAAUAGGUGGUAUUUUAAAAAUAAAAUUCUUAAAAAUUCUAUUUUAGGAAAGUUUUCAUUUUUAUUGGUAAAUAUUGUAGAUUUGAGACUGUGAUUUAGAAAAUAUGAUAACAAGAAUUUUUGUUGAUAUAUGAGUAUUGUUUUAGAUUUUUUGGGUGAUAGGCUGUAUUUUUAAAAUAAAAUUCUCAAAAAUUCUAUUUUUGGAAAGUUUUCAUUUUUAUAGAGAAAUAUUUUAGAUUUGGGAUUGUGAAUUAGAAAAUAGGAUAACAAGAAUUUUUGUUGAUAGAUGAGUAUUGUUUUAGAUUUUUUUUAUCAAUACGUGGUAUUUUAUAAAUAAAAUUCUUAAAAAUUCUAUUUUAGGAAA
rnacentral:lncRNA from 1 species